UACAGAGGGGGCAAGCGUUGCUCGGUAUCACUGGGCUUAAAGGGCGCGUAGGCGGUGCGGUACGGUUUCGGUGAAAUCCCUCGGCCCAACCGAGGAACAGCCGGGGCUACGGCCGCGCUAGACGGCAUCAGGGGACAGUGGAACUUCCGGUGGAGCGGUGAAAUGCGUAGAUAUCGGAAGGAACGCCGGUGGCGAAAGCGACUGUCUGGGGUGCCUGUGACGCUGAGGCGCGAAAGCCAGGGGAUCAAACGGG
rnacentral:rRNA from 1 species